rnacentral:rRNA from 1 species
UACGGAGGAUGCAAGCGUUAUCCGGAAUGAUUGGGCGUAAAGCGUCCGCAGGUGGCAAUGUAAGUCUGCUGUCAAAGCGUCUGGCUCAACCAGAUAAAGGCAGUGGAAACUACAUAGCUAGAGUAAGGUAGGGGUAGAGGGAAUUCCUGGUGUAGCGGUGAAAUGCGUAGAGAUCAGGAAGAGCACCGGUGGCGAAAGCGCUCUGCUGGACCUUAACUGACACUGAGGGACGAAAGCUAGGGGAGCGAAUGGG